CCUGAGGUUAUUGUUACCGACACAGAAAAGCCUGAAGGAGGAUUUUUGCUCCCCACAGUGAAACUACUUUUUGCAUGCAGCCCACAUGAUCUGGAUGCUACAUUGACAAAUACAAAUUACAGCUGCAAACAUUCACUUCCUCUAGGCUUACUACAUACAUUUUGGGGAUAUAUUUCUUCAAUGAAGAUCAGGUACUUGUAUGGCACCAAUUGACACAGGCACAAGACACAAUGGCAAGCGUGGACGCAACCUGUGGACGCAGCACAUGAGUAUGCCUGUGUGAAGUACAGAAUACGCUCGUGCUUUUUAGGAUAACUGAGAAAAGCAUUUCUCUGGCCCGGUGCUCCCAGAUACACACAAAAUGAAAUCACAAACUAAGUUUCUAUCCUUCUACAUCUUGCCAGCAAUGAUUAGACAGACAUCUUAUUGCUGUAAUGAAAAACGUUUCAUUCGCAGACAUCCCCCUCACCUUGCAAAGAAAAGAAAGAAAGAAGGAAAAAAGCCAGGUACUCACCCAGGCCCACACUGAACUACACACUUGGAAUCGCAAAGCCGAAGUUAAACUGCAAAGUUCAUUCCAACUUGUGAAACCACUGAAGCAAAACCAGAUGCUUUCAGCAUUUUCUCCAAUCCUAUACUGACCGCUCCCACCCUUUAGACAUUUGUCUUGCUAAUUGAUCUAUUCUUGGUUGCUUUUUAUCACCAAUGCGCUCAAUUUUUUUUAAUUUAUUGAAGUUGAAGAAUUUUUCUAUUGCUAGCUUUUGCAUCCCUCCAGACUGAUGUUAAAUAAAGACGACAGGCAAUGUCCACAGAAUAGUACAUGUUACUGUAUGUAUCAGAAAUUUUUAUCUGCAAGGUAAACUAUUCACAAUACACUAGAGACCGUGUAAACUUAAUCUGAGUCACUGCGGCAAUACUACCUCCUUACUUUGGUGAAAAUAUUUCAGGGCAACGUUUGAACUAUUUCAAAAAUGCAAUCAAAGAAGUCUUCGUGUUUGCUGUCAAUGACUUGUGCUUUUAGUAAAAUAUAGAUGUAGUCAUUCAUGUCCGAUUACCUGACUUGAAAGACAACAAAAUGACAUAUAGCUCUGGUGUCCCAAGGCCCCUUCAGGGUGGUGAGGAAGGUUGCCUUCUUUCUGAGGCAACCAGAACAGCACUGCUGAAGCCCCUACCUCCACCACUUAGUUAACUAAUAGUUAAAUAGCAUUGGCCCUUACUUUCAAGGAGCUUUUUUGAAUUAAUUCAAUUUCCUCCCUUUGACCUCCAUAAUGGAGCAUUAGUAAGUCUGCAGGGGAUGAAACAAGGCAUUAGUACUGUUUUUUGACUGUUUUUAUUUUUUAGGCUGAUUUUAGAUAGCCAACCUUAAGACUGCAGUAAGGACAUCUUUCUGCAAAUGCAAGGAUUGUACAUAAACACUAACUAAAUACACUGAUAGAACAGGAUAAAAUUUGACAUUUGGGAAAGUAGGAACUGCUACUAAAUCAAAUUUUUAGAGUGACAUAAAAUUCUGACUUUAAUAGAAGGAAUAAAUCAACUAGUGUAUAUUCUGAUAUUUAAUUGCGUGCCCUGCAGCACAGCAUCUGCGUACAAACUAGAAUUUUACUGGAAAACAAGGAACAAUUUUCGGUAAACACAAGCAGUUAGAAAUAAGAAAAUCACUUAUGGAGAAAGGAAUUAUACACAUUCUGGAACCAUGAAAAAGCUGGUAGAAAUUAAGCUUCCCAAGUAUUUCUCAACAGUUGUCUUGAUUGAGACUGUUUCAGUUCAGCACAGCCAAUAGCAGAUGUAUGGAAGACAACUCUCUCUCUCUCUCUCUUAGACAAACAGGAGUCACAAACAUCAACUUAAGUUUCCAAGAAGUUAAAAUUCCUUGAAACUACUUAAUCAUUUUUGUUGUCACAGCAUCUUCCUCUAUUGCCUGAUACAAUAGUUCAAUAUUUCAGAAUUUCAAUUGAGAUAAAGUAGAUAUCUACUGUUC